UACGAAGGGAGCUAGCGUUGUUCGGAAUCACUGGGCGUAAAGCGCACGUAGGCGGAUGUGUCAGUCAGGGGUGAAGUCCCGGAGCUCAACUUCGGAACUGCCUUUGAUACAGCACGUCUUGAGUCCGAUAGAGGUGGGUGGAAUUCCUAGUGUAGAGGUGAAAUUCGUAGAUAUUAGGAAGAACACCGGUGGCGAAGGCGGCCCACUGGAUCGGUACUGACGCUGAGGUGCGAAAGCGUGGGGAGCAAACAGG
rnacentral:rRNA from 1 species